ensembl:snoRNA
AUCCUUUUGUAGUUGAUGACUGGGUUUUCACGCUCAUAGAUGGAAGUGUGCCUCCCUCAAAACUGGUUACAUUGACACAUUACCCAUCUGACA